GUGACGUCACAGCUGUGCUUUACACACAGAACGACGUUACAGAUCCCAUCGGAUUUCAACUGACUACACUCUGAUGGUCCAUCCAUUAGAUUUGAUCAAUACCUCAGUAGAUUAUUAAGUUAUAUUCUAACUGCUCAUGGUUUGUCCUACAGCCAGUUUCGAGGUAACAGUGAAUGGUAAACUGGCCUACUCUAAACUGGAGGCCGGAGGAUUCCCAGACACCAAGGAGAUGGUGGCGAUGGUGAAGGAGGUGAGCCGCGGAGGAAAGGUUGAGAGAGUGAAGAAGAAGGAUAAUAAGUGUGUUCUCCAAUAGAUGAGUGGAUAUUAAGAGAGGGAGAGGAGGAGCGUUUUUUAAGAUCCUGGGUCCUGAUCUGAUUCUAUUAAUGAUUGUUCACAAUGAAACUAAGGAUGUGCAACAUGAUGAAGUCUACAGUCAUUUCAACUCUGUGAUCUGAGGGAAAUACUCUCAUCCUGUGUCUCUGUUUUAUACUGUCAUGUCUUAUGUUAUUCCUUGUCUGUUUUUCUUUCGUUAUACAGACAAAGAUAUUAUAGACUGACUAGCAUUUAGUUUUACAUUCUAGAAAUGAUAUUGUACUCAAUGUAGACCUCUGCAGUUGUAUAGGCUGUACGUGUAUUUUUAAAUGAUCACAUAAAUUCUAUGAAUCAA